rnacentral:misc_RNA from 1 species
GAUGAAGAACGUAGCGAAAUGCGAUAAGUAGUGUGAAUUGCAGAAUUCAGUGAAUCAUCGAAUCUUUGAACGCACAUUGCGCCCCUUGGUAUCCCGAGGGGCAUGCCUGUUCGAGCGUCAUUUCACCACCCAAGCCUGGCUUGGUGUUGGGCGACGUCCCCUUUGGGGACGCGCCUCGAAACGCUCGGCGGCGUGGCACCGGCUUUAAGCGUAGCAGAAUCUUUCGCUUUGGAAGUCGGGGCCCCGUCUGCCGGAAGACCUACUCGCAAGGUUGACCUCGGAUCAGGCAGGGAUACCCGCUGAACUUAAGCAUAUCAAUAAGCGGAGGA